rnacentral:lncRNA from 1 species
UCAGAUUUAAAUAUUAUACAAUGCUCAAAUGUAAUACACAAAGAGGAUCAAGAUGAACACAUAUUGCACAAGCAUUGAUAAUAUAUUCACAAACAUACAUAUACUGAUCAUAAGUUCAAAAACAGGACAAUCUUGACAAAGCAAAGUUUGGCCAUUUGACCACCAUCCAGCAAACACAAGCCACAUAAAAGGACCACUAUUUGUUGUUCUGCAGGAGUUCAAACACUAAAUGGUACAGAACAAAGUCACACCCAUGAGCACAAGAUAUAUGCUCCAAAACACUUCAAGCACCAAAUGGUCUAGAACAGACAUAAGAUUCAUGAUCACAAGUUGGCUGGUCCAAAAUACUGUAACAGCCAAAUGCUGCCGAACACCCUGAAGUCAUCACAUCCAUGUGCAAUAGAUGGUUGAGUACCUGAAAAUGAAUGGUCAAAUUCUCAUAUGUUCACCCCAACGAUUUUGUGCACUUCAAAGUUUGAAAAUAAAUGUCAAAAACAAAUGUAGUCGUAUGUUGUCUAAUGAACUAGAAUUAAAAUGUAUAGCUUCAGACCAAAAAAAACUGUAGUAUGUGAAGUUCUGCAUAUGCCAUGUGAUCUUUAGAUUGUGACCAUCAAAGUGUUAACACCAAACUAAUAGAUGUAUGCUAACUACUAAGCAAUUUAUAUGAGCAUCAGAUUACGUCAUGUGAUUUCAUAUUUUUAAUUUUAAAACUGCAGUAUGUGGAGUUCAUUUUUAUAUUCAAGACACGAAAAGUUAUCUAGUGAUACUAUAAUUUCACAAAUAGGUUUUACAAUUUCAGAUACACUGAAGUGUUAUGUGUGACACAUUUUCCUCGCUUGCCAUUUGGUUUACUCUGGCGUAUGAUAGUUAAUCCAUGUACUAGUGUUCUUAGUUCAAUAUUAUCUGAUCGAUAAACUAGCUAAAUGACACGAAAAUCAGUCUUGGAGCAUUUGUGUGUUCAUCAAAAAUGAAAAGGGGUCCACAAGACAACUAUGGAAAAUGGUUCAUGGGUUGUACAUAUUAUCUGUAAAUCAAAUGAUAACAUACUCACAUCGCUUGUUUCUUAUGCAAACUAUUUUAGUUCAUAGGCUGCUUCUUCCACUGCACGUUGCUCUGAAAAGUGUGAAUACAUGUGUCAACCACCCUGUGAAGACGAAAACUAUGUUUAAUAAUAUAGAUAACUCGGCUGAUCCUAAAUCAAAUUAGAAACUAGGCCAAGGGACUGCAAGUUAUGUCCUUGGUAAGUUUAUUGUAUGAACUUUUCAAAUGCACAAAUGAUUUUCAGGUAAUAUUAGGACAUCACCAGAAUAAACACGAAUAUCUCACAACAUUCUAGGAUUUACCUGCAUAUGGAAACAGAGAGCUCAAAUUAGGAGGGUAGUGAACAUCAUCAGACAACUUACUUGAUAUCAAAUAUAUGACUCGUAUCUGACCGUUUAAUGGUCCUGUGAUGGUAACACAAAUGGAGAUUCUACUUAACACCAGUACUUAUUACCACAAAUAGUCAGGCAGUAGUAUCUGACACAUAAAUAUAUCUAUCUUCUAUCUCAUCUGGAGAUACGUGCAUUACAUACUACUUUUCUGUCCCAAGAAAAAAACUGAAAAACAAGAACUAAAGACAUGCACCUGAACGCAUUUCAUUUGUUUGGAAAGAAGCAUCUGAACACAUAUAUGAAUGAAUGAUUCGUCACAUUAUCUUACUGCACGAGAUCGACUUAGACCAUGUGUUGUCGUGCUUCAGCUAGUACACUGAAUUGUUGUGCUUCAGCUAGUACACUGAAUUUGCAAGCUACUGUAAAUUGCUCAGCGAAUGGCGCGUUUAAAUGACAGGGAGGGAACACAGCAAACAAUCUUAUAUAAAUGAAUGACUUUCGUCUUCCAGAUUUUGAGGCCACAUAUUAAAAUAUAUUACCAUCUCAAGGAAAAAAAGAAGGGACAAUGCUGGCAUUAUAGGCAGCCCGUUAAAAAUUUAUCCCCUACUGCAUACUUGAUAAUCCAACAAUAUUUAUAAAACGCUGAGCGUGCUGUGUUUAGCUUACAAUUAUCUCAUUAUGCAUUUGCAAUUUGAUAAUUUAUAGUUGGAAAUUUUUCCAAUGAGAAUAUUUCACUUCAGUCCUUUGACUGUGCAACUGACUUUUCUGUAGUGAGAUAUAUACCUAUCAAACCUGCUACAGUCUAGGUUAGAAUCUAAUCUUCUCCCAAAAAAUUUGAAACCGACCCGGCCAUCUAUAGCAUCAAUGAGAGCUUAUAGCCUACAUGCUAGCUCCAAAAAGAGGUGGUACUCCAGAAUUAUUAUUUAUUAUAGCAAUAUCAUCAGUAUAGUUGGUUACACAUAUAUCUGAUUAACUCAAGAUGCUGAUGCAGACCUAGAAUUCAGAAACUUGCAUGCUUAGAAUUCAGGAACUAAAGUACCAUGUCAAUCUAGCCAUCGAUCGGGCCAAAGAAUUAGAAAAUAAAACAAGCUAUGACUGCUUUGGUUGUCAGUAGUAUACGGAUCCAACUAGUAACCUCUGUAAUACUACACGCUCUUCUUACACAAAAAGGUGCUGAUUAAGUGAGGGAUCAGCUUAUGCUUCUUCUUUUUUUGCAGGGAGGAUUAGGUUAUGCUUCAGAUCAACAACAUGUCCAAACCACUCCACAGCAACUGCCAAUGGUACAACUCUCAAGUUACAGCAAGCUAGCAGUUCGAUCUACUAGAGACACAGGGUGGUACUCACGUUGGAAAAACAAGAACAAAGAGAACAAAUUGGGGAUCCCACCAUCGGUGCUUACCUAGCAACGCCCACUCCCUCCAGCCAGAGGUCCAAGCGGACGGAGUUGUCGGAGGCUGUGGCUCCAAGGAAGGGAGGAAGGGAUGGAGUCGGGGACUAUGGGACGUGGAAUGGGAUUGGGGUUGGGGGCGGCGGACGGACGGGUCUCGGGGACGGAUCUCAUGAGCCCGGAGAUGGAGCCCGGCAGCACAGGGCAGAAGUCGAACAAUAGCAGGGCCGGCACCCCGGCAGCAGCGGCAGCCCGGAGAUGGAGCUCCGACGGCAGCAGGAGCCCGGAUAUGGAACCCCGCAGCAGCAGGUACAGCAGCAGCGGGAGCCGGGAGAUGGAUCCCCGGCAGCCGCAGAACGGGGAUUGGCGAUGACGGCGGCUGGACGUCGGGGGGAGGGGCGUUGUGCGCGGACGGCGGCUAGAUGUGCAGCGCGAGGAUGGCGCCUCGAUCUAGGGCUGGAGCUCAAGGGAUUGAGUACGGCGGAUUGAGGACGGGGUGGAGCGCGAAGCCGGCGGCGGG